rnacentral:lncRNA from 10 species
UGCCAUUUCAGUGACUUCACUGCCUUCUGUGCCUCCGCGCACCCCUUGCAUCCAUUUCCAUACACUAUCGUGAAAUGUAACUCCGCUCCUCUAUGCCAAUUUUGCAAGUUCAUUUUUCCUGAAGAUUUAUACGUGGCAUGUCCUGCAGCCAAUAAAGGACAGAAUAACAAAUAAUGGGACAAAGACUUCUGUUGCUGGCAUUACAGAAGACCUGCUAUUCAGAGAAAGCUCUUUCAGUAUCAAACACCUGAAAAAUUCUGGAUUAAAUAUUAAGUUUUAUGAAAAGCAUGGCUGAACGAGCAGUAAAGGAAAUAAUCAGUGGCCAGACAUGUUCGAAUCCAGAUGUGUAAGCACACGCUAGAUCUGACAUGUGCUUGAAGGCAACUCCAAUUGCUGGUGGUCUGGAGCCUGCGUUGUAAUAGACAUCUAUUACUGGAGGACAGGACACAAAGCUGAGAGUUGAGCAGCUUUCUGAGCCACAAGUUGAGCAGGCGAUAGCAAGUUGCUGGGAAGUGGAGUCCGGG